rnacentral:lncRNA from 1 species
AUUAAUUUCUUUACUCAAUCAUUCCUUUUUCGCGUGGAAACAAUUUUGUGGAGGUGUGAAUGUGACUUUGGGAAAUGGGAAACAAUGAAAUCGAACGAAGCUUUAAACCAAGAACUAAAUUAUUAUUCUCAAAUUUUUUUCUCGAAAUAAAGAAAACCUUUAACGAAGGUUUACAAUUCAGGCGCUAAGAACAACCCGACAAUGAAAGCAAAUAAAUGUUCAAACCAAAAGAAACAUUUGAGACUAAGAAAACAGUAAAAGACCAGUGGACCCCGAACUAGGAACACCCAUCUCCAUCGUUGAUCCGCCGCUGAGAAAAGGAAGCAAAUCUAAAUUUCACCGUCAUAAACCCUAACGUAUAGGGAAAAUCUCUCAAAAGAAGGAAUACUAAAACCUGAACCACGACUUUAACGUCAUUAUCGUUUCUU